rnacentral:rRNA from 1 species
CAAUAGCGUAUAUUAAAGUUGUUGCGGUUAAAAAGCUCGUAGUUGGAUUUCUGCUGAGAACGACCGGUCCGCCCUCUGGGUGUGUAUCUGGCUCUUUCUUGGCAUCUUCUUGGUGAACGUUGCUGCACUUGACUGUGUGGAGCGCUACCCAGGACUUUUACUUUGAGGAAAUUAGAGUGUUUCAAGCAGGCAUACGCCUUGAAUACAUUAGCGUGGAAUAAUAAGAUAGGACCUCGGUUCUAUUUUGUUGGUUUCUAGAGCUGAGGUAAUGAUUAAUAGGGAUAGUUGGGGGCAUUCGUAUUUAACUGUCAGAGGUGAAAUUCUUGGAUUUGUUAAAGACGGACUACUGCGAANGNAUUUGCNAAGGAUGUUUNCAUUG